rnacentral:rRNA from 1 species
CCUAACACAUGCAAGUCGAACGGUAACAGGAAGCAGCUUGCUGCUUCGCUGACGAGUGGCGGACGGGUGAGUAAUGUCUGGGAAACUGCCUGAUGGAGGGGGAUAACUACUGGAAACGGUAGCUAAUACCGCAUAACGUCGCAAGACCAAAGAGGGGGACCUUCGGGCCUCUUGCCAUCGGAUGUGCCCAGAUGGGAUUAGCUAGUAGGUGGGGUAACGGCUCACCUAGGCGACGAUCCCUAGCUGGUCUGAGAGGAUGACCAGCCACACUGGAACUGAGACACGGUCCAGACUCCUACGGGAGGCAGCAGUGGGGAAUAUUGCACAAUGGGCGCAAGCCUGAUGCAGCCAUGCCGCGUGUAUGAAGAAGGCCUUCGGGUUGUAAAGUACUUUCAGCGGGGAGGAAGGCGAUAAGGUUAAUAACCUUGUCGAUUGACGUUACCCGCAGAAGAAGCACCGGCUAACUCCGUGCCAGCAGCCGCGGUAAUACGGAGGGUGCAAGCGUUAAUCGGAAUUACUGGGCGUAAAGCGCACGCAGGCGGUCUGUCAAGUCGGAUGUGAAAUCCCCGGGCUCAACCUGGGAACUGCAUUCGAAACUGGCAGGCUAGAGUCUUGUAGAGGGGGGUAGAAUUCCAGGUGUAGCGGUGAAAUGCGUAGAGAUGCUGGAGGAAUACCGGUGGCGAAGGCGGCCCCC